UCAUAUAUGAGGAAGAAAGGGGGCACAUUUUUAAGAGCAAAAUCUCCAACCUUAUAAAAUAUUAGGUUUAGGGAAAAUCAAAUAACAAUCUAUAAUGUCGUAGUAGACUUUUUCACGUUACUUUCGAGCCGUAGUAGUUCUCAUACAUUGAUACCGUUACAUACCUGUGCUUAGAAUAUCGAUGAGAAGCACAUGGCUCCCCAGAUCGAGAUGUGAAACGAAGAAGUUUAAACGACAAACGUGGGGGUGGCUUGUUAUUGACUCAAUCGAUCAUUAGCUAUAUGAACCUACCCUUCAUUCCGAGAUCUGAACAUAUUUUGCUACCAAGAAAAAGAAUAGCAGAAAGAAAAAAAAGCCGUAAUACAGUUCAUCACUCACAAAAAAAAAGGAACAUCAAUCUUCCAGAUCAAAAUCUGUACAUGUCAGAGAGCCCUGAAUGAAGAGUGUUGUGCCCUAUCAUGCUUCAAUCUUCAGGUAUUAUCGAUGUUUAUAGGUUCAAUAGUUGUUCUGCUUCUAAUUCGGAUUGAAGGGAAGGUUGCAACCACCUUAAAUGUCCUUUGCAUUGCUUAUGGCAAGAAGAAGAAUUGAUGCUGAUGUCAUGUUAGAGUACCACUUUGCUUGCAAAUAAGCAAGAGAUCUCUAUGGAGGGAACAACAUCAAGUUUUGUUCGAGAGAUGACCUAACAGCUUCAACCAUAAGUUGAAGAAAUUGUUUGAACCUAGUCAAGGAACAAACAUAGACAACUGGUAUUGAAUUCAAUAUUCGGUCGUAUGAAUCAAUUGCUUUAGCUAUCUCAAAGUGGCUUCGGAAGUUGAUAUCAAUGAUCAUAUGCUCAGAAUUCCCAUUACUGUAAUUGAGCACAUCAAUGUACUGAUGAUCACCUACAUAUAUAUGUCAUAAUUGGUUUUUGUCAAAAUUAAUAUUGUUUUACUGAUUUAUACAUAAAUGGAAAC
rnacentral:lncRNA from 1 species